UAAAUCCCCAACCCCGAAGGAUCACUUUCUGAACAAGGAAGUAUUUGGGGUUUUGUUUGUUUGUUUAAUGGAUAUGGAAGUUUUCACUUGGAAAGAUUGAUUGCGUUCUGGAGACUUGCUCCACAGCAGUGUGGCUGAGCUUAACACCCCUGAAGCAUACAGUCAGACCGAUUAGGACAGUUAAAGGUACGUAUAGCUUACCAAAUCAAAAAAAAAUUAUUUUGGGGGGCUUUUUUCCCCCAAAAGAGUGUCUCUCUGUAUAGUCCUAAAACUCACUCUGUAGACCAGGCUGGGCUAGAAAUCCAUCUGCUUCUGCCUCGUGAGUGCUGGGAUCAAAAGUGUGAGCCCUGUAGGUCUUAAGUUCCAGUAAUGAAGUCACCCAGCAGGGAAGUCCUCAGGGACAACACAGCAACACACCCAGGACAUGGGCUCCCACCUCCUUGGCUUUCUCUGAGUGGCAAGUGUCCCUCCAAGAGAAGGGGAGGGGCUGAGGUGUCCAUUGUGUGAUCCUUGGAUCUCAAGCCCUCACAGUAAAUGGGGACCCAUCCAUCCUAUCACGGGGCUGACAUGCAGCUUUCCCCACUGCAGACCCAGGACGGAGCUAUUGGCACCAUGAACCCAGUCAUCAGCAUCACUCUCCUGCUUUCAGUCUUGCAGAUGUCCCGAGGACAGAGGGUGAUCAGCCUGACAGCCUGCCUGGUGAACCAGAACCUUCGACUGGACUGCCGUCAUGAGAAUAACACCAACUUGCCCAUCCAGCAUGAGUUCAGCCUGACCCGAGAGAAGAAGA
rnacentral:lncRNA from 1 species